rnacentral:rRNA from 1 species
GACGAACGCUGGCGGCGUGCUUAACACAUGCAAGUCGAACGGAAAGGCCCUGCUUUGUUGGGGUGCGCGAGUGGCGAACGGGUGAGUAACACGUGAGUAACCUGCCCUUGACGUUGGGAUAACUUCAGGAAACUGGGGCUAAUACCGGAUAGGAUCUCCUGCUGCAUGGGGGGGGUUGGAAAGUUUCGGCGGUUGGGGAUGUACUCGCGGCUUAUCAGCUUGUUGGUGGGGUAGUGGCUUACCAAGGCUUUGACGGGUAGCCGGCCUGAGAGGGUGACCGGACACAUUGGGACUGAGCUACGGCCCAGACUCAUACGGGAGGCAGCAGUGGGGAAUAUUGCACAAUGGGCGGAAGCCUGAUGCAGCAACGCCGCGUGCGGGAUGACGGCAUUCGGGUUGUAAUCCGCUUUCGCCUGUGACGAAGCGUGAGUGACGGUAAUGGGUAAAGAAGCACCGGCUAACUACGUG